rnacentral:rRNA from 1 species
UUGACCUCGAAUCAGGUAGGAAUACCCGCUGAACUUAAGCAUAUAUUAAAAGCGGAGGAAA